GAGUUUGAUCAUGGCUCAGAUUGAACGCUGGCGGCAGGCCUAACACAUGCAAGUCGAGCGGAUGAGAGGAGCUUGCUCCUGGAUUCAGCGGCGGACGGGUGAGUAAUGCCUAGGAAUCUGCCUGGUAGUGGGGGACAACGUUUCGAAAGGAACGCUAAUACCGCAUACGUCCUACGGGAGAAAGCAGGGGACCUUCGGGCCUUGCGCUAUCAGAUGAGCCUAGGUCGGAUUAGCUAGUUGGUGAGGUAAUGGCUCACCAAGGCGACGAUCCGUAACUGGUCUGAGAGGAUGAUCAGUCACACUGGAACUGAGACACGGUCCAGACUCCUACGGGAGGCAGCAGUGGGGAAUAUUGGACAAUGGGCGAAAGCCUGAUCCAGCCAUGCCGCGUGUGUGAAGAAGGUCUUCGGAUUGUAAAGCACUUUAAGUUGGGAGGAAGGAUUGUAGAUUAAUACUCUGCAAUUUUGACGUUACCGACAGAAUAAGCACCGGCUAACUCUGUG
rnacentral:rRNA from 1 species